rnacentral:rRNA from 1 species
UACGUAGGGUGCAAGCGUUGUCCGGAAUUAUUGGGCGUAAAGAGCUCGUAGGCGGUCUGUCGCGUCGGAUGUGAAAACUCGGGGCUUAACCCCGGGCCUGCAGUGGGUACGGGCAGACUAGAGUGCGGUAGGGGAGACUGGAAUUCCUGGUGUAGCGGUGAAAUGCGCAGAUAUCAGGAGGAACACCGGUGGCGAAGGCGGGUCUCUGGGCCGUAACUGACGCUGAGGAGCGAAAGCGUGGGGAGCGAACAGG